GCGCGUAAAUUGCCCGAAUCCUGACACAGGGAGGUAGUGACAAGAAAUAACAAUACAGGGCUACUUUAGUCUUGUAAUUGGAAUGAGUACAAUUUACAUCUCUUCACGAGGAUCAAUUGGAGGGCAAGUCUGGUGCCAGCAGCCGCGGUAAUUCCAGCUCCAAUAGCGUAUAUUAAAGUUGUUGCAGUUAAAACGCUCGUAGUCGGAUUUCGGGGCCUGCCUGCCGGUCUGCCGAUGGGUAUGCACUGGCAGGCGCGUCCUUCCUUCCGGAGACUGCCCCUACUCUUAACUGAGCGGGGUCGGGAGACGGAUCGUUUACUUUGAAAAAAUCAGAGUGUUUCAAGCAGGCAGCUCGCUCUUGCAUGGAUUAGCAUGGGAUAAUGAAAUAGGACUUUGGUGCUAUUUUGUUGGUUUCGGACACCGAAGUAAUGAUUAACAGGGACAGUCAGGGGCACUCGUAUUCC
rnacentral:rRNA from 1 species